UAGGAAAGUACUCUUGAGCAGAUCAGAGAGGGACUGGGUUAUCACACAAGGAUGACUUUUACUUUACAGGCAUUGAAGAAUUUGAGAGGAGUAAUGUAAGCAAAAUAAUGGUUUAAACAGACAACCUGGUAGCAUUUUAUGGGAUAUGUUUGAGGGGAGAACAUCAGCUUGGAGACUACUGCAACAGCCCAGAGGUGAAGUAACAGGGAUCCAAACUAAUGUCAGGUCAGCAGGAACACAAAGGGAGGGCCAACUAUGAGCCUAUGAGCUGGGAGACUAAGGAGAAGCAUAUGUUUGGGCUAUGACUGUGGCUAAAGGAGAAGGAAUAGCCAAGGAAUGAUGUCCAGCUUUUCAAUCUCAGUGUCUUGGCCAGAAACAGUAACUGAGGCCCAGUCUUCCUAUUGGGAAAACCAAGUUCUGUCUCAGAUGUCUUGGGUGUGGAGUGAGGGAGUUUGGGGAGAGUUGGAAAGACAAGACUCAAUCACCAGUCACCAAGUUUUACCUCAAAGUUCCUCUUAACAAGAUAUCACUACGUCUGGAGCCAAAUGGAAGGUGACUUGCUUACUAAUAGAACCCACAGGUCUUCGGUGGUCUUUAAGAAAGAUUGAUCAGGAAUCAAGUAAAGAAAAAGGGACCUGUUACGUUUAAUCCUAAACUGACAAGACAUUUGUAUUUAUGCGACAAGAAGUUACAUCUGCCAACCCAGCUCCUGUCUUCCUUAAGUAAAAGCCUCCUGUCAG
rnacentral:lncRNA from 1 species